CCGAAGAAGUGCAGUUUCUGAUGAAGAGAAAAUUGUCAGCCGUGGGAGAGGCCGAUCCAGGGCUAGAUGCCACUGCCCUACUUCAGUAAACCAGCCAAUACAUAAGACUAAAAAGGAGAGAAGGCACUGACUCUGUGACCCAAACAGUGAAACAGCCUCAGAAGGCAGAAAAGGACAUAAUGAAUUGUGGACGUAGUGCGUCUGUCCCUCGAAGAAGGGCAAGAUCUGAGGAUGAGAAAUCUGUCUGCCGUGAGCGAGGCAGAUCCAGGAUCAGACGCCACUGCCCAAUUUUGAUCCAUACAAAAGAGAGAGAUGGCACUGGCUGUGUCCCAAGAAGUGGACUACUCUCAGAACGCAGAGAGGGACGUUAUGACUCGCAGACGGAGUGUGUCGUCUAUCCCUCAAAGAAUGGCAAUAACUGUAGGCAAGUUGAGAACAAGUUCUCAUUUACAACUGCGACC